UGGCGGACGGGUGAGUAACGCGUGGGUAACCUGCCUUGUACAGGGGGAUAACAGUUGGAAACGGCUGCUAAUACCGCAUAAGCCCACGACCCGGCAUCGGGUAGAGGGAAAAGGAGCAAUCCGCUUUGAGAUGGCCUCGCGUCCGAUUAGCUAGUUGGUGAGGUAACGGCCCACCAAGGCGACGAUCGGUAGCCGGACUGAGAGGUUGAACGGCCACAUUGGGACUGAGACACGGCCCAG
rnacentral:rRNA from 1 species